rnacentral:rRNA from 1 species
CAGUAGCCGCGGGAAUACGAGGGGGGCAAGCGUUGUUCGGAUUUAUUGGGCGUAAAGGGUGCGUAGGCGGUUUGAUAAGUCAUCUGUGAAAUCUAUGGGCUCAACCCAUAGUCUGCAGGCGAAACUGUCGGGCUUGAGUAUUGGAGAGGUGAGUGGAAUUUCCGGUGUAGCGGUGAAAUGCGUAGAUAUCGGAAGGAACACCUGUGGCGAAAGCGGCUCACUGGACAAUAACUGACGCUGAGGCACGAAAGCUAGGGGAGCAAACAGGAUUAGAUACCCCUGUAGUCCCUGUCUCUUAUAC